rnacentral:lncRNA from 1 species
GUUUGGUGCAGGGGUUCCUGGAGUCUGUUACCUCACAGAUGUGGAAAAGAUUCGUGUCCAGGGAAUACAAAAAUUCCUCAAUUCCUUAACCCACCUGGAAUUCAACAUGGAUAUUUCAAAUCUGGCUGUUCAGGCACGUGGAGCUGGACAUGGAUUGGCUUCCACAGGGAUGGGAGCUGGAGUGCCAAAAACUCCUGCAGAACAACCAAGGCUCCAGGCUGGAGGAGAAGUCUAAGAAAUAUCCCUUCCAAAUGAGCCUGGUGAGAUUUUCCCUGGAUAUUUGGGUUAUUGAGGCCUUCCCAAGCUGCAGAACGCUGGGAUCCAGAUUCCAGCCAACAGUGACUCUUUGCCAUCUUUGUUUUCCUACAGUUGAUCCUCUGGGUUAUUGGUAAAUUCUGGUUCUGUCCCAAUCCCCGUUUUGUUUUGGAAGGGAAUUAGCUUCUAGGUGAAAUAUCUUUGUUUUCCCAGCUCAUUUUUUCUGACUUCGCCACAUCCCAGUUUCCCAUAGGAAGCGCUGAUGGGAACUUUGAUAACAAGUCCAAAUGCCAUGAAAACUCUCUUCCAACCCAACCCAACCCAACCCAACCCAACCCAACCCAACCCAACC